rnacentral:rRNA from 1 species
UACGGGAGGCAGCAGUGGGGAAUAUUGCACAAUGGGCGCAAGCCUGAUGCAGCCAUGCCGCGUGUAUGAAAAAGGCCUUCGGGUUGUAAAGUACUUUCAGUCGUGAGGAAGGUGUUAAGGUUAAUAACCUUAGCAAUUGACGUUAGCGACAGAAGAAGCACCGGCUAACUCCGUGCCAGCAGCCGCGGUAAUACGGAGGGUGCGAGCGUUAAUCGGAAUUACUGGACGUAAAGGGCACGCAGGCGGUUAAUUAAGUUGGAUGUGAAAUCCCCGGGCUUAACCUGGAAUGGCAUUCAAGCUGGUUAGCUAGAGUCUUGUAGAGGGGGGUAGAAUUCCAUGUGUAGCGGUGAAAUGCGUAGAGAUGUGGAGGAAUACCGGUGGCGAAGGCGGCCCCUGGACAAAGACUGACGCUCAUGUGCGAAAGCGUGGGGAGCAAACAGGGAUUAGAUACC